rnacentral:rRNA from 1 species
AGUGAACGCUGGCGGUAGGCCUAACACAUGCAAGUCGAACGGCAGCACAGUAAGAGCUUGCUCUUACGGGUGGCGAGUGGCGGACGGGUGAGGAAUACAUCGGAAUCUACUUUUUCGUGGGGGAUAACGUAGGGAAACUUACGCUAAUACCGCAUACGACCUACGGUUGAAAGCAGGGGAUCUUCGGACCUUGCGCGAUUGAAUGAGCCGAUGUCGGAUUAGCUAGUUGGCGGGGUAAAGGCCUACCAAGGCGACGAUCCGUAGCUGGUCUGAGAGGAUGAUAAGCCACACUGGAACUGAGACACGGUCCAGACUCCUACGGGAGGCAGCAGUGGGGAAUAUUAGACAAUGGGCGCAAGCCUGAUACAGCCAUACCGCGUGGGUGAAGAAGGCCUUCGGGUUGUAAAGACCUUUUGUUGGGAAAGAAAAGCAGCAGGUUAAUACCCCGCUGUUCUGACGGUACCGAAAGAAUAAGCACCGGCUAACUUCGUG